rnacentral:rRNA from 1 species
UACGUAGGGUGCAAGCGUUAGUCGGAAUUACUAGGGGCGUAAACGUGCGCAGGCGGUUGUGCAAGACAGAAUGUGAAAUCCCCGGGCUUAACCUGGGACUGACAUUUGUGACUGCACGGCUAGAGUGCGGCAGAGGGGGAUGGAAUUCCGCGUGUAGCAGUGAAAUGCGUAGAUAUGCGGAGGAACACCGAUGGCGAAGGCAACUCCCGUGGCCUGACACUGACGCUCGAUGCACGAAAGCGUACGGGGAGCAAACA